rnacentral:lncRNA from 1 species
AGGUAUAGGAUUUAAAAUCUAGAGAGAAUAAAUUUAUUCUCUUGCAUAUAUUAUAAUUUCUUUCUCCCGAUAACAAUCAACCAACAACAUAACAAUUCUUAUAAUCUUCCCAUAGGGAAGAAAAUAAAUUAUCGAAUGUAUCUACGAUAAAAGGUGUUAUAAUAAGUUUUCAGUUCAUUUUCCAGCUCAGUUUCUCUCCGUAAAUAAGAAUUAUGUCUUGUUAUCAUUAAAUCCACCACUUCAGUCUUGAUGCGUAAUCUAGCAUCUUGUAGCAUAUCAUUGAUGUUUCUUAAAUGAUGUCUCAAAUUCUCCAACUCCGUGCAAAUCUCCCGCCUUCUAUCGCCGUCAUCAUUUUUUUAAAAUCAAAGUUGGGCUCCAAGGCCCUAUUAUAGAAAAUCAACAACUAUUUACAAG